rnacentral:rRNA from 1 species
UACAGAGGUCUCAAGCGUUGUUCGGAUUCAUUGGGCGUAAAGGGUGCGUAGGCGGCGCGGUAAGUCGGGUGUGAAAUCUCGGAGCUUAACUCCGAAACUGCAUUCGAUACUGCCGUGCUUGAGGACUGGAGAGGAGACUGGAAUUUACGGUGUAGCGGUGAAAUGCGUAGAUAUCGUAAGGAAGACCAGUGGCGAAGGCGGGUCUCUGGACAGUUCCUGACGCUGAGGCACGAAGGUC